GGGUACUUUGUGAUAUGUUGGAUACAAUGGCGGAUUAUGUGGUACGUGCAAAUUGUGGUACGGAUCGUAUGGUGUCCCAUCGGCAUUUAGAAAAUGACCACAAUAAGCGGUGGCCACCAUUGCUGAAACAAAAAUUUACCGAUCGACGGCACUUCUUCAAGGAUCAGACGAGUCUGACCAGAUGCUAAAAUUUAUACGAAUUAAAAUCAACGAUCCACAUUGGGCAAAUCAAGUUUCUUCCUCUUGUUAUUCGUCCGCACGUGACUGGAUUCUCUUGAAGGAAGAGCAGGCAAGGAACAGCCUUUUGAAUCUGGCAAUAAAAGACCCCUGUGUUCCAAUCUUCGAAUAUACGUGGUAUUGGGUAUAACAGAUACCGGUCCAAAAUAACAGGGUCCUCUUGUUCGGUUUAUUGGUAUCGCAGAAGAUCUAUCAGGUGGCAGCACUUCCAUCUGCUCGGAAUCAAAACAUGACCUACCGUCCAGAACUGCUAUGACAAAUUCUAUUAGAUUGUUCUUCAGGUGAAAGACGCAACUCCGAAAGAAAUCUCUCAACGAAACCAUCCUGUGUGAAGAGAGGAUGAUCCAAUAAAUUUGAACAGCUGGGCCUUAAAUCUGGAUCCAUACGAAGACACUGCGAGAGGAAGUCAGUAGCUGCUGAGGUCCACGUGGGAAAUAUUCCUCGUAGCAAACGAAUUCCAGAUAGUUGUCCUACAGUUUCCCCAACACUGGCUCUGCGGAGAAGUCUCACGCCAUUGUUACGAUUUACGAUUGUUUGAUGUUUUCCACAAAGUCCGCCUGCGGAUGCAUUUCAUUAUACAUUCUUUCCAUUGAAUUACAGUUAUUAACUUUGGACCAAAAAUUAUUCUCAUUUGCAUGCAAUAUUUUUUUUCCUUAUUUAAUUGUCUGAAAAAUACUUUCAGAUAGUUAUAACAUGGUCAAGAAUUACUAACCAAGAAGUUUGAUA